CAGCUUGACGCUGCGGCCACUUUUAGGGGGCGCGGGCCGGCCGGCGCCUCCGCGGCUCCACCUGCGAGGAGAGGGCGGGAUGCCAGAGCCAGGUGUCCCGGCGCUUUAAGGCCCCUCGCUGUGAGGCGUCUCCGAACCGGUUCUCGCCUGGGCUCUCGACACUCGGUUACCUUGAGGCUCUGACUGGGACGUGUUUGGCGGGGCGCCCUCGGAGCCGCCGUGAUGGCCAGCACUAGGAGUAUUGAGCUGGAGCACUUUGAGGAACGGGACAAAAGGCCGCGGCCGGGGUCGCGGAGAGGGGCGCCCAGCUCCUCCGGGGGCAGCAGCAGCUCGGGCCCCAAGGGGAACGGGCUCAUCCCCAGCCCGGCGCACAGUGCCCACUGCAGCUUCUACCGCACGCGGACCCUGCAGGCCCUGAGCUCGGAAAAGAAGGCCAAGAAGGCGCGCUUCUACCGGAAUGGGGACCGCUACUUCAAAGGCCUGGUGUUUGCCAUCUCCAGCGACCGCUUCCGGUCCUUCGAUGCGCUGCUCAUGGAGCUAACCCGCUCCCUGUCGGACAACGUGAACCUGCCCCAGGGCGUCCGCACCAUCUACACCAUCGACGGCAGCCGGAAGGUCACCAGCCUGGACGAGCUACUGGAAGGUGAGAGUUACGUGUGCGCAUCGAACGAACCAUUCCGUAAAGUUGAUUACACCAAAAACGUUAAUCCGAACUGGUCUGUGAACAUCAAAGGUGGGACCCCUCGCGCCUUGGCUGCCCCCUCCUCGGUGAAGAGUGAGGUGAAGGAAAGUAAAGAUUUCAUCAAACCCAAGUUAGUGACUGUGAUUCGAAGUGGAGUGAAGCCGAGGAAAGCUGUGCGGAUCCUUCUCAAUAAGAAGACUGCUCAUUCCUUUGAACAGGUCUUAACAGAUAUCACGGAAGCCAUUAAACUGGACUCAGGAGUGGUCAAGAGGCUCUGCACGCUGGACGGGAAGCAGGUUACUUGUCUGCAGGACUUUUUUGGUGAUGAUGAUGUUUUUAUUGCAUGUGGACCUGAAAAAUUCCGUUAUGCCCAAGAUGACUUUGUCCUGGAUCACAGUGAAUGCCGCGUCUUGAAGUCAUCUUAUUCUCGCUCGGCAGCUGUUAAGUAUUCUGGAUCCAAGAGCCCUGGGCCUUCUCGACGCAGCAAAUCACCAGCUUCAGUAAAGAGGGGUGGCCACUCCUCCAGUGCCUACUCUGCAGCCAGAUCCCCAGUUAAUGGAACUCCCAGCAGCCAGCUUUCCACUCCUAAGUCUACGAAAUCCUCCAGUUCUUCUCCAACUAGCCCAGGAAGUUUCAGAGGAUUAAAGGUACGAAAUAGGACGUCUGCACAUGGCAGAUCUUCUUCCAAUGUAAAUGGUGGACCUGAACUUGAUCGUUGCAUGAGUCCUGAAGGUGUGAAUGGAAACAGGUGCUCUGAAUCGUCGACUCUUCUGGAGAAAUACAAAAUUGGGAAGGUUAUUGGUGACGGCAAUUUUGCAGUAGUCAAAGAGUGCAUGGACAGGUCCACUGGAAAGGAGUUUGCCCUAAAGAUUAUAGACAAAGCCAAAUGUUGUGGAAAGGAACAUCUGAUUGAGAAUGAAGUGUCGAUACUGCGCAGAGUGAAGCAUCCAAAUAUCAUCAUGCUGGUUGAGGAGAUGGAAACGGCCACUGAGCUCUUUCUGGUGAUGGAAUUGGUCAAAGGUGGAGAUCUCUUUGAUGCCAUCACCUCUUCAACCAAGUACACCGAGAGAGAUGGCAGUGCCAUGGUGUACAACCUGGCCAGCGCCCUCAGGUACCUCCACGCCCUCAGCAUCGUGCACAGAGACAUCAAGCCAGAGAACCUCUUGGUGUGUGAAUAUCCCGAUGGAACCAAGUCUUUGAAGCUGGGCGACUUCGGGCUGGCCACCGUGGUGGAAGGCCCUCUGUACACGGUCUGUGGCACCCCGACUUAUGUGGCUCCAGAAAUCAUUGCUGAAACCGGCUAUGGCCUGAAGGUGGACAUUUGGGCGGCUGGCGUGAUCACCUACAUACUCCUCUGUGGAUUCCCACCCUUCCGAAGUGAGAACAAUCUGCAAGAAGAUCUCUUCGACCAGAUCUUGGCUGGGAAGCUGGAGUUUCCAGCCCCCUACUGGGAUAACAUCACGGACUCAGCAAAGGAAUUAAUCAGUCAGAUGCUUCAGGUAAACGUAGAAGCGCGGUGUACGGCGGGGCAAAUCCUGAGUCACCCCUGGGUGUCAGAUGACGCCUCCCAGGAGAAUAAUAUGCAAGCAGAAGUCACAGGUAAACUAAAACAGCACUUUAAUAAUGCGCUCCCCAAACAGAACAGCACCACGACCGGGGUCUCCGUUAUCAUGGUAAGUGGGACGCGGGGCUCUGCCCUUGCAUAGCUGCAGGGUCUGGCCUGAUGGCCCAGUCGUCACUGAAUCUUGUAAAGUCAGUAGCUGAGAGCUUCCUCCCGUGGUGGUGGGCGCCUUCCACGCUCCUUUCCCCACCUCAGGAACGGCUUGGCAUGUGAAGGGCGCCUUUUGGCCGACUCCUGGGCCUUGAGUCCUCGGAUGAGAGGUUGCACAGGUCCCGGCAAGGCCAGGCUGACGGGCCUCUGGCCAGGGAGCCCCGGCCUUCUCUCCUGAGGGAGCCCCAGCGCCCUCCUGGCAGCUGCUUCUGUUCUCAUCUCUGCUCUCCAGCCCUGAGCCCAGGCGGGACUGACAGUGUAAGGAAGUAACUCCCUGAUCCCCCAGGCUUCACAAAUAGAUUGAGAUCUGAAUUAAUCUUUGGGACUUGGGAUAAGAAAGAGCCAGAGUUAAAUCCAUUAAAAAAAAAAUCGGUGUUUUGGACUUUUAAAAGUUGAGAACAAUGAGAAAAAUACUAGUUUUUUUCAAGGUUGGUAAAAUUUUAUGAGAAGUCAGUAAUAGUGGUCCCUGUAUUUCUUCAGAUCUUCCUUCUUCCAAAAUGUUUAAGGUAGCUUACCUAAAUCCACAAGCGCAGCAGAUGACCCAUGGCAUUAAAGUACGUGAAGUAACGUUAAAGUAAGUUCAGCAAAAGGGAGGAGAAGGGAGGAAAAAUAAAAUUGAGCCAGAAGUGUGUUCAGCACACCCACCACCAGCUGUCCAGACCCAAGUUCUUGCCGAGGUGGGGCCGUGUCCCCAGCGUGUCCCCACCUACCUCGGUGCCACGACUGAAGCACCAGCACCUCGGCUGUGAUCUCUGUUCCCCCCCCACACGGCUCACAGAAUCAGGGAGCUGGCGGCGACUUCCUUCCCCAGAGCAGACAGUCAGACUGUGUAAGGAGAAGGCGUCUUGGCCCCCCCGGACAGUGAGAAUCCACGGCUUGUUGGGUCCCCAGAAGCUGGACAGAGAGUGACGGGCUGUCUCCCCGGCUCCAUCUGGAGAGCCCGCCCCCUCUGGAGAGCUUCUGGUUUCCUCCCCGACUGGAAGGAGAACAGUUGCAAUUCUUGUGGCACAUUGAAGUCUAGGAACCUCCCCUCCAAGGACUCGGGUCCAGGUGGAAGCUGGAGGGAACCCACCUUGUGAGUGUGGCCUGCGCGCUGUGUCCCUGGGCCUCCAGCGCUGUCCCAGCACUGCUGGUUUGUCCUCCUCCCUGGGGAGGCCGCAUGUGUUUGGUGGCUGUCUGUCUGUCCUCGGGGCUCCUCCUGCUGGGAAGCUGCCGCCCGCCCCAAGGCUCACACGUGGGUCCCCUGACAAGUUGUGGGACCUUGGGGUGCUCUGCGCCAAAAUAGUGAGGCCUCUGGAGUUGUGGUCUUCCUGGCACUUAGCAGUUCUGCUGAAGCCUAGGAGAGCCAGGGUUGUCACAGACUUGCAGAAGAGAGCCUUUGGAAAGAGCCACCUUGACUGAGCCCCCAGCGCGAGGUUGAUUCCCAGCGAAAAGGCUGCCGGGAGGGUGAGGCCUUGCAGCCUGGCAGGAAUUGAGAAAAAUUGGAAACACUGAAAAUUGGGACCCUCAACAUGUAAUCAAAAACCUUAAGAUUGAUUUUAUUAGAAGUACAAUUUAAUAAGCACAUAUUAACGAAGCAUCUGCGUCUCCUAGUGGACGAGCCUUUGUAGGGUGGGCCGGGCUCACCCAAGUUCUCCCCGAGUUCCCGGGGUCGCCUGUUGACUCAUGGCCCAUGGGAAUGGAUGGCGUGAGGCCUGUGGCCUGCCACAGUUCUGGAAUGAUCAGCCCUUCUGGCCCAGUGUAAGCUCUGUUCUGCAGAAGGAGGUUUCAGCCCUCUUACCCACAGAAACCUAUCUUAUGGUUUACAAAUGGCAUUUUUUCCAUUUGCUGAUGGAGUUCAACCGUUAAAUUUCAAACUCCUGAACUUUUAACAGGAUGUUUGUGUGAAUGAACAAGGCUCUCCCAUUUGUAAUCCGAGCGGUGAUUGUAAAAGUUGUAUGUUCACGUGUGUGUUCAGUGUCACCUUGGGCAUGUUGGCUGGGCUCCAUUCAACCCCACGUCUCCUACACAACUCUGCAGCUCGUGAGCGCUGGGAAGUGCUGGCGGAUGUCCUCACUCUCAGUACCUGCGGGAGAAAUCAGGGAAGCCUGUCCCUGGAGGUACCAAUUCUCAACGGCCAAAAAGCCAGCCUGUGAAUUUUGGCUUGUCCCCAAAAGCAGGGGCGAGAAGGCAGCUGAGGAGCCUGCCUGGGGCACGGUUGUGUGGGGGCGGCUUGCAGCUGCUUCCAUGGCUUCAUCCUCGUCCUCGUCACCAUUGCUGCGUGUCUGUGUCCUGGCCUUGGGAACAGUUUCAAAUGUUUAUUUAAAAAUCAUUCAUCAGAAAUACCUCUCCCUGGUGUUUAUAUGUUCUCAUAGCUGGAGUAUGUGAGGCUUGUGUGGUUUCCUACGGAUACAAAUGGUGGUGGAACCGGUGGGGACGCUUCAGGAGCUGUCAACCCCAGACGGAGCCUUCCUCUGUGCUGCUCCCCACCCCUGCCGUGUCCUCUCCACCUCAGCCCCCCAGAGUUGGAGCCUGAGGCUCCCCUGAGAAAGUUACAGGCUAGGAUGGUAAAUAGCAGUGCAAGAAAGUAAAGCUGAUGCUGUUGUCUGCGUUUUGUUUGACAGUUUGAUUUGACAGUUUGAGAGACACUUCAGAGUUUCAGUGUGUACCCCGUUCAGACUCUGGGGAUCCUGGAGCAGAAUUCGGAACACGGCUCUAGAUAAGGAGGGGCAGAUCUUCGGCGGCCCCAAGCUCUGCGCGGACGGCA